rnacentral:lncRNA from 1 species
CUCGCACAGGCGAAAAUCAACAAAGAGCCAUUCUCGGGCAUUUCCAACUGCACCUAAGCCAAGGCACUGAGCUGUGGAGCCAUCCGGCCUGGGGAGGGGAGCCACGCAGACACUGCUCACUGCUCUUGGGUGUGCGGCCAGGCACAGUAAACAUCCAGAUCCCAUUCUUUAGUUCAGUGCUGUGCCAAAAUAAGAAGGAACAUUGUGUUGUUAAAAAGACAAGGACCCAAGAUGUGCACACCCGAAGCUGACAGUCAGAAGUCAUGGUUUUUGUGAGCAGCUGAGGGCUGAGGCCCUGU